UUAUAGAAGAAUUUAAUUUUGGUUCUGAUUGAACGUUUUUCAGUAGUUUUAAGACAUGCGAAUCGUUAUUCUACCUACGGAUUAAAUAAAUAAUUAUCCAGUCCAAAGGAGAAUAAGGUGUAAAGGUGAGUAAUGGUAAAUAAGAUAUCUUAUAGACUUCUUAAAUAGAGGAUAGUUAAUAAAAAAAUACAUUUAAAUUAUUAGCAUAACUUAGCUUAGUUAUAACUAAAGGAAAUUUUCCGCUAUAAGAAUUGAUUUACUUUGUUUAAUGGUAGUUGGCAGGGUAAAAGCCUCCCAAGCCUACGAUCAAUAGCCAAAUUUGAAAGAAGAGAUGGCCACAUUGGGGAAGCAAUAGCCCCAAAUCCCAUAGGGGAUCUGCAGUCAAGAAUAUUAGUCAAUGCUCGCAAGAGUGAACUAGCUAACUGAAAUCCUAAUUACACUUAAUCGUGCAAUUAAGAUAAGGUAAGGGAAAAAAAUGAUAAUACCUUACUAUUAGUGUUGUCCAAAUUACUGGUGCCAGAAGACUCGGUAACACCAGAAACGCGAACGUUAGUCGUCUUAAACAGGCGUAAAGGGUAAGUAGGCAGCUUUAUAAAAAAAUAUGUUAAUUUAAGCUCUAAUUAAAAUAACAAUAAACCUUAUUUGAUUAGUUUUUAACAUAUUUUGAUUAAAAGCUAGAAUCAUAUUGAAGAUAAACCAAAUAAUACUUAAGUGUAGGGAUAAUAUCCAUAGAUACUAAGUGGAAUACUAAUGGUGUAAACUUUUAUCUACUAAUGAUUGACGCUGAGGAACGAAAGUGAGAACAGGGAAUAGGAUUAGAUACCCAGUUACCUCUCACCGUCAACGAUGAAUGGUAGUUAUUAUUUUUGAAUAAAAAUUAGUAACGAUGUUAACGCGAUAACCAUUCCGCCUUGAGAGUACGGUUGCAAAACUGAAACCAAAAAAAUUAGUCGGUCUCGGAGCAAACGAAGUGAAGCAUGUUAUUUAAUACGAAAGUACGCGUAAAAUCUUACCAGUUCUUGCAUAGCCAGUCCCUCUUAUUAUUUGAAAAAGAGAUUAAGAUAAAAAACUACUGAGUAGUAAUAGUAGGAUUUGAUAAAUAUUUAGAUAAAUAGUAAUUUAUUAUUAUUUAUUUGUUUUAUUUUUCUACCUACAUACUUUAUAGUGAGGACUCACUAUUUUAUGAGUUAUUAAUUUAAUAAAAAUAAGUGAGGGCCUCUCCCCUUAGGCUUACCUAAGGGAGAAGUUUUUCUUCGAAGUUUUUCUUUUAAUUUUAAGACUGGAUUGAGUGAUAAUUAUUUAUAAAUAAGUUACUUUUUCUUCCCUAAUUUUUUUUUUGUUUAAAAUAAUAAUAGGGUUAUUCGAAGAAUAUUUAUUUAUAUUAAUUUAUCCGUUUACAGGUGUUGCAUGGCUGUCGUCAGUCCGUAUUGUGAAAAGUGAGGUUAACUCCACUAACGGACGAAAUCCCUGUAGUUAAUUUAUACUUAACUAUUAAUGAUUUUUAAAUAUUUUCAUUUGGGGCUAAGACAAGUCGUUAUGGCCCUCAUGGACUGGGCUAUAGACGUGCCACUAGAACUUUUACAAUUUGACGCAAAACUUAAAUUUAGAUUUUAUUAUUUAAAUUUAUAAGGUUUAGCUAAUCAGUAAAGAAAGUUAAUUGUAUUAAUCUUAAAACGGAUUGUUGCCUGUAACUCGGCAACAUGAAGAAGGAAUUUCGAGUAAUCGUUGAUAAGCAACGCAACGGUGAACAAUGAAUCCGUGAUGAACUAACUGUCUGUCGCUGGGGAGAAGUUCAGCUUGGGGGAAAGCGCCGCGAAGUCUAUCUUU
rnacentral:rRNA from 1 species